rnacentral:rRNA from 1 species
UACAGAGGUCUCAAGCGUUGUUCGGAUUCAUUGGGCGUAAAGGGUGCGUAGGCGGCGCGGUAAGUCGGGUGUGAAAUCUCGGGGCUUAACUCCGAAACUGCAUUCGAUACUGCCGUGCUUGAGGACUGGAGAGGGGACUGGAAUUUACGGUGUAGCGGUGAAAUGCGUAGAUAUCGUAAGGAAGACCAGUGGCGAAGGCGGGUCUCUGGACAGUUCCUGACGCUGAGGCACGAAGGUCAGGGGAGCAAACGGG